UACAGAGGGUGCAAGCGUUAAUCGGAAUUACUGGGCGUAAAGGGUGCGUAGGUGGUUUUGUGAGUCAGAUGUGAAAUUCCUGGGCUUAACCUGGGGACUGCGUCUGAUACUGCGAAGUUAGAGUACUGUAGAGGAAAGUGGAAUUUCCGGUGUAGCAGUGAAAUGCGUAGAGAUCGGGAGGAACAUCUGUGGCGAAGGCGACUGCCUGGACCAGCACUGACACUGAGGCACGAAAGCGUGGGGAGCAAACAGG
rnacentral:rRNA from 1 species